rnacentral:rRNA from 1 species
AGAGUUUGAUCCUGGCUCAGAACGAACGCUGGCGGCGUGCCUAACACAUGCAAGUCGUACGAGAAAAUCCGCUUCGGCGGGUGAGUAAAGUGGCGCACGGGUGAGUAACGCGUGGAUAAUCUGCCUUUAAGCGGGGAAUAACUUACCGAAAGGUGGGCUAAUACCCCAUAAAGCUAUGGAGCUCCGGUUUUCAUAGCCAAAGAGAGCCUCUGCAUGCAAGCCCUCACUUAGAGAUGAGUCCGCGUACCAUUAGCUAGUUGGUGGGGUAAUGGCCUACCAAGGCGACGAUGGUUAGCUGGUCUGAGAGGAUGAUCAGCCACACUGGAACUGAGACACGGUCCAGACUCCUACGGGAGGCAGCAGUGAGGAAUAUUGCGCAAUGGGGGCAACCCUGACGCAGCAACGCCGCGUGAGUGAGGAAGGUUUUCGGAUCGUAAAGCUCUGUCGGGUGGGAAGAAAUGUAUGGAGGUUAACAGCCUUUGUACUUGACGGUACCGCCAAAGGAAGCACCGGCUAACUCCGUGCCAGCAGCCGCGGUAAUACGGGGGGUGCUAGCGUUGUUCGGAAUCAUUGGGCGUAAAGAGCGUGUAGGCGGCUAGGCAAGUCAGAUGUGAAAUCCCUGGGCUUAACCCAGGACGUGCAUUUGAAACUGCUUGGCUUGAGUAGGGAAGAGGGAAGUGGAAUUCCUGGUGUAGAGGUGAAAUUCGUAGAUAUCAGGAGGAACACCGGUGGCGAAGGCGACUUCCUGGUCCUAUACUGACGCUGAGACGCGAGAGCGUGGGGAGCAAAACAGGAUUAGAUACCCUGGUAGUCCACGCCGUAAACG